GCAUCCAUGCUGAGUGUGAAAGCGCCAACUCAUAAUUGCGAAGUCGUAGGUUCAAUUCCUACUGGAUGCA
rnacentral:tRNA from 1 species